rnacentral:tRNA from 1 species
UCCCAUGUAGCUCAGUUGGUAGAGCAUGGUGUUUGCAACGCCAGGGUUGUGGGUUCGAUUCCCACAGGGGGGA